rnacentral:rRNA from 1 species
UCGGGAAUUUUGUGCAAUGGGCGAAAGCCUGACACAGCAACGCCGCGUGAAGGAUGAAGUCCCUCGGGAUGUAAACUUCGUAAGAAUAGGAAGAAUAAAUGACGGUACUAUUUGUAAGGUCCGGCUAACUACGUGCCAGCAGCCGCGGUAAUACGUAGGGACCAAGCGUUGUUCGGAUUUACUGGGCGUAAAGGGUGCGUAGGCGGCAUAUCAAGUCACUUGUGAAAUCUCCGGGCUUAACUCGGAACUGCCAAGUGAUACUGAUGUGCUAGAGUGCAGAAAGGGCAACUGGAAUUCUUGGUGUAGCGGUGAAAUGCGUAGAUAUCAAGAGGAACACCUGAGGUGAAGACGGGUUGCUGGGCUGAUACUGACGCUGAGGCGCGAAAGCUAGGGUAGCAAACGGGAUUAGAUACCCCUGUAGUCCCUGAGCGGGCUGGCAAGGCGCAU